rnacentral:rRNA from 1 species
ACGAACGCUGGCGGCGUGCUUAACACAUGCAAGUCGAACGGAAAGGCCCCUUUGGGGGUCCUCGAGUGGCGAACGGGUGAGUAACACGUGAGUAACCUGCCCUUGACUUCGGGAUAACUUCAGGAAACUGGGGCUAAUACCGGAUAGGAAUCCUUGCUGCAUGGUGGGGGUUGGAAAGCUUCGGCGGUUUUGGAUGGACUCGCGGCUUAUCAGCUUGUUGGUGGGGUAGUGGCUUACCAAGGCUUUGACGGGUAGCCGGCCUGAGAGGGCGACCGGCCACAUUGGGACUGAGAUACGGCCCAGACUCCUACGGGAGGCAGCAGUGGGGAAUAUUGCACAAUGGGCGGAAGCCUGAUGCAGCAACGCCGCGGGCGGGAUGACGGCCUUCGGGUUGUAAACCGCUUUCAGCAGGGGCGAAGCUUGUGGUGACGGUACCUGCAGAAGAAGCACCGGCUAACUACGUG